UAUAAAGAGCCUUAGCUGUCAUGGCUUGG
rnacentral:piRNA from 1 species